UACGUAGGGUGCGAGCGUUAAUCGGAAUUACUGGGCGUAAAGCGUGCGCAGGCGGCUUUGUAAGACGGAUGUGAAAUCCCUGGGCUUAACCUAGGAACUGCGUUCGUGACUGCAAAGCUAGAGUGCGGCAGAGGGGGGUGGAAUUCCUGGUGUAGCAGUGAAAUGCGUAGAGAUCAGGAGGAACACCGAUGGCGAAGGCAGCCCCCUGGGUUGGCACUGACGCUCAUGCACGAAAGCGUGGGGAGCAAACAGG
rnacentral:rRNA from 1 species